UUCUUUACUGACUGAAAAUAAAAUUAGUAUUUGAAACCAGAUAGAAACGGGAAUUCAUAAGCCUAGGACUUAUCAUGAUCUAUUACAAAUUGAUUUUUUUAUCACGUCGUUUACCAUAUGGCAAGAAACGAUAUCAAGAUAUGGUGUUUUAGUUGUUAGUUGCUAUAGUCAAAUGAGAAGCCAUCUCUCCACUUGGUUCAAUUUCAGAUGAAACAUGUCCACGGGUCUGCGUAUCAGUCCUCUCCGCUUGCCUUAGC
rnacentral:lncRNA from 1 species